rnacentral:rRNA from 1 species
GAUGAACGCUGGCGGCGUGCCUAACACAUGCAAGUCGAACGGAGACGGAGCUGGAAGGGACAGUUUACUGUAACGGAAAGAUCUGUCUUAGUGGCGGACGGGUGAGUAACGCGUGGGCAACCUGCCCUGUACCGGGGGAUAACACUUAGAAAUAGGUGCUAAUACCGCAUAAUAGGGAAUACCGCAUGGUAAUCCUUUGAAAACUCCGGUGGUACAGGAUGGGCCCGCGUCUGAUUAGCCAGUUGGCGGGGUAACGGCCCACCAAAGCGACGAUCAGCAGCCGGCCUGAGAGGGUGGACGGCCACACUGGGACUGAGACACGGCCCAG